AGACCUGAAAUCAGUCGAGAUUACCCGCUGAAUUUAAGCAUAUAAUCAAGCGGAAGAAAAGAAAAUAACAAUGAUUCCCCUAGUAACGGCGAGUGAAGCGGGAAGAGCUCAAGGUGAAAAUCCGUGAGUCCCCUUUUGGCCUCAGGAAUUGCAGCCUCUAGAGGCGUGGCCAGUGGGAGGGCAGCUCUAAGUUUCUUGGAACAGAACUUCAGAGAGGGUGACAGUCCUGUCCUUUGUCCUGCUUUUGAAUUUUCCCACGUACGGUGCGCUUUUAUUGAGUCGCGUUCAUUGGGACUUGAGCGCAAAAUGUGCGAUAAGUUUCACAUAAAGCUAAAUACUGGCGUGAGACCGAUAGCGAACAAGUACUGUGAAGGAAAGAUGAAAAGGACUUUGGAAAGAGAGUUAAAAGUGCCUGAAAUUGCUGGAAGGGAAGCGAUUGAAACUUUUAUGUGUCCGGGGUGAUGGUCUGGUCCAGUGGUCAGUUCCCUCAUAUCUCCGUUAUAGGGUCUGGGGGUGCGUGUUACUGCUGUAGCCCAUAUUAUGACCCCUGGUUGCUGGCCAGCAUCAGUGGUUACCUGACUAUUUUCCCCAAGGAAGGUAGGUCCCUCGUGGGCUGUUAUAGCCUUUGGGUGGGUUUGUUGUUCAGGUUUCUACUGAGGUGUAUUUUCCGCGUUCGAUGGCUCCACUUUCGAGUACCGUCGUUCGCCGGUGCUGUCCUUAACGGUUUCAACCGACCCGCCUUGAAACACGGACCAAGGAGUAUAACAUCUUGGCGAGUAUGCGGGUGGAAACCCUCUAUGCAUAAUGAAAGUGAGAGUAGGGAGAAAUUUGCCUGUGGCAUUUUUUGCGCCUACGACCGACCACGAACUCUGUGAAAAGUUUGAGUUGUAGCACAUCUGUUAGGACCCGAAAGAUGGGCACUAUGCCUGAGUAGGGUGAAGUCAGGCGAAAGCCUGAUGGAAGCUCGUAGCGAUACUGACGUGCAAAUCGUUCGUCAAACUCGGUAUAGGGGCGAAAGACUAAUCGAACCGUCUAGUAGCUAGUUCCUUCCGAUGUUUCUCUCAGGAUAGCUGGAGUUCAAUUAGUUUUAUCAGGUAAAGCGAAUGAUUAGAGGCCUCGGGGGCGCGUUGCCCUCGACCUAUUCUCAAAUUUUAAGUGGGUAAGAUCCAGUGGUUACUUCAUUGAACUGCUAGGGUUAAUACGAACUCCAAGUGGGCCAUUUUUGGUAAGCAGAACUGGCGAUGAGGGAUGCUCCUAACGCUUGGUUAAGGUGCCUAAAUACUCGCUCAUCAGACACCAUAAAAGGUGUUGGUUCAUUUUGACAGCAGGACGGUGGUCAUGGAAGUCGAAAUCCGCUAAGAAGUGUGUAACAACUUACCUGCCGAAUGAGCAGCCCUGAAAAUGGAUGGCGCUGCAGCGGGUUACCGAAACCAGGCCAUUAUCGCAAGUUUUGAGCACUCGACUUUUUGCGACAAUGAGUCGGAAGACGUGGGGAUCGUAGUGAAGCAUUUGGCGUGAGCCUGUGUGGAACUGUCUCUAGCGCAGAUUUUGGUGGUAGUAUCAAAUAUUCAAAUGCGAACUUUGAACACGGAAGUGGAGAAGGGUUCCAUGUGAACAUAAAUUGGAGAUGGGGUAGCCGGUCCUAAGCGACAGCUUAACUGCGUGAAUUUCGGGGCCUUAUUGUCCCCGUAUUUCGCGAAAGGGAGUCAGGAUAAGAUUCCUGAGCCAGGACUUGGAUACUGUACGGUAACUUUAAUGAACUCCUCGACGCAGGCGGGUGCCCCGGGAAGCGUUGUCUUUGUUUCUUAACAGCCUCCAAAUAAACAUACCCUGGAAUCAGAUUAUCUGGAGAUAGGGUUGACUGGUUGGUAUUGCUUCCUCGCUUCCAGGGAGUCCAGUGCGUCCUGACUGCCCUUGAAAAGAGGAGGGAAAGUUGUUAUUUGCACCCCUGGCCGUACCAUUAACCGCAUCAGGUCUCCAAGGUUAGCAGCCUCUGGUCGAUAGAAGAAAGUAGAUAAGGGAAGUCGGCAAAAUAGAUCCGUAACUUCGGGAAAAGGAUUGGCUCUGAGGGCUGGGUGUAUAGCGCCAGUGUGUUCUUCGAUGGUCGGAGCUGUAUGGGCACGUUCGUACCUGGAGGCGCGACUGUGGACCAUUGGCACUGACCACGAUGUGACCGUUGGUCUGCUUACACAGUGAACACCUAACUCAGAACAGGGGGGGACAAGGGGAAUCCGACUGUUUAAUUAAAACAAAGCAUUGCGAUGGCCGCAAACGGUGCUGACGGUAGUGCUACCGAUUGUGCUAGUGUUGGUGUCUUACUAGUCCAUUAGUGUAUCCUACAGCUUAUGAUCUGUGUUAAGGAAGCCAAAUGCCUCGCCAUCUAAUUAGUGACGUGCAUGAAUGAAUUAACGAGAUUCCGACUGUCCCUAUCUACUAUCUAGUGAACCCACAGCCGGCGGAACGGGCUUGGCGGAAUCAGCUGGGAAAGAAGACCCUGUUGAGCUUGACUCUAGUCCGAGUUUGUGGAACGACUUCGGGGGUGUAGCACUGGUGGGAGCUUCGGCGAUGGUGAAAUACCACUACCCUUAGUGUCGUUCUACUUAUUCCGUCAAGUUGAGACGCAUGCGCGGCAUGUGUUUUUGUCUUAAGGUGCCUCUCGGGGUGCUGAUCAAUGCGGAAGAGACAGUCAGGUGCGGAGUUUGGCUGGGGCGGCACACCUGUGAAAUAAUAGAGCAGGUGUCCUAAGGCAAGGUCAAUGAGAACAGAAAUCUCAUGUUGACCAAAAGCGGAAAAGCUUGCUUGAUUUUGAUUUUCAGUACGAAUACAAACUGUGAAAGCAUGGCCUAUCGAUCCCUUAGGUCUGAGAGACUUUCAGCUAGUGGUGUCAGAAAAGUUACCACGGGGAUAACUGGCUUGUGGCAGCCAAUCGUUCAUAGCGACGUUGCUUUUCGAUCCUUCGAUGUCGGCUCUUCCUAUCAUUGCGACGCAGAAGUCUCAAAGUGUCGGAUUGUUCACCCGCCAAUAGGGAACGUGAGCUGGGUUUAGACCUUCGUGAGACAGGUUAGUUUUGUCCUACUGAUAAAUUUGAUACUGCGACAGUAAUCCAACUUAGUACGAGAGGAACAGUUGGUUCAGAUACUUAGUUAAUGCGGCAAGCUGAAAGGGUAGUGCCGCGACGCUACCAUUUGUUGGAUUAUGGCUGAACGCCUCUAAGUCAGAAUCCAUGCUGACCAAGCAGUGUUUCUCGUCGCCUCAUUUGUCACUUGCAUAUGUUUUUAGUGCCUCGAGCAAAACAUCUCACACCGCCCUUUGCGUUACGCGCCGGGCGAUAAUCGCAAUUUCCAACAAUUGGGGCGGUACAUCUAUUGUAGACGACUUUGGCGCAACCAGGUAUUGUAAGUGUGAGAGUAGGCGUGUCCUACGAUUCACUAAGGUUCAGCCUGCGUUGUAUGAUGUGU
rfam:Eimeria brunetti, Houghton, WGS project CBTX01000000 data, contig: Ebh_contig736_4